UGAGUCGGUUGGGCGACCGCAUCUUACGAUGAGGAAAGUCCGAGCGUCAUAGGGCAAGGGUGCAUGUUAACUGCAUGUGGAGGCGACUUUAAGGAAAGUGCAACAGAAAUAAACCGCGUCUGCGCGAAAGCGCGGCGUAAGGGUGGAAAGGCGAGGUAAGAGCUCACCGGCAAUCCGGCGACGGAAUUGCCCUGUAAACCCCACUCGACGCAAGAGAAUAGGGACAAUCGGCGGCCCGUCGGUUCCUAUAAAUCGCUUGAACCUAUAGGCGACUAUAGGUCUAGAUAGAUGGUCGUCCACGACAGAACUCGGCUUACAGACCGACUCAAAAA
rnacentral:RNase_P_RNA from 1 species